rnacentral:rRNA from 1 species
UAUGUGAUCGUCUCUCGCAUAUCAAUAAGCGGAGGAAAAGAAACUAACAAGGAUUCCCCUAGUAACGGCGAGUGAAGCGGGAAGAGCUCAAAUUUGAAAUCUUAAAGGGUUUCCCUUUACGAAUUGUAGUUUAAAGAAGUGUUUUCUGUUGAGGUUUUGGUAAAAGUUCUUUGGAAUAGGACAUCAUAGAGGGUGAGAAUCCCGUAUUUGACCUUUACUUUCAACUUUGUGAUACACUUUCAAAGAGUCGGAUUGUUUGGGAAUGCAGUCCAAAAUGGGUGGUAAAUUUCAUCUAAAGCUAAAUAUUGGCGAGAGACCGAUAGCGAACAAGUACCGUGAGGGAAAGAUGAAAAGAACCUUGAAAAGAGAGUUAAACAGUACGUGAAAUUGUCAAAAGGGAAGCGUUUGACACCAGUGUUGUUUUUCUGAAAAUCAAUUAAAGAACUGUUUAUGCUAAGUUGUUUAGACUUUAUCAGCUAACUGUUUAGUUUUGAGCUUUUCUUUAAUGCACUUUUCAGUUAACAAGUCAACAUCAAUUUCUUUUGCUGUAAAAAAGCUUGAGGAAGGUGGCUUGAGAUUCGUCUUAAGUGUUUAUAGCCUCUUGCCUAUGCAGUCGGAGAGAUUGAGGUCUGCAGCGUAGAUCCUUCGGGGCUAAAUGCAUUUGUGCUAAGUUAUAGCAUUUUAUAGACAACUUGUUGACUAUGAUUUGUCUUGUAGCUUACUCGCUUAUGUUAUUUUACCUACGCUUAGGAUAUUGAUCUACAGAGCGAGAGU